rnacentral:ncRNA from 2 species
UAUAUAUAAAUAGAGCAGGCGAUACACUUUUAAAAGUGUGUGGGGCUGGGCUGGCAGAAGAGCUGGUAGCAGGAAAGAAUACCUGUGGGACUAUA